UACGGAGGGGGCUAGCGUUGUUCGGAAUUACUGGGCGUAAAGCGCACGUAGGCGGCUUUGUAAGUUAGAGGUGAAAGCCCGGAGCUCAACUCCGGAAUUGCCUUUAAGACUGCAUCGCUAGAACGUCGGAGAGGUGAGUGGAAUUCCGAGUGUAGAGGUGAAAUUCGUAGAUAUUCGGAAGAACACCAGUGGCGAAGGCGGCUCUCUGGACCAGCACUGACACUGAGGCACGAAAGCGUGGGGAGCAAACAGG
rnacentral:rRNA from 1 species